GUGCCCUCAGAGGUCAUAAAGACCUUGAAAACCCCUAAUAAUAUUAAACUUGGACAGAGAGACCGUUUGCAUUAAGAGACUUGCUUUCCUGGCUUGUGAAGAAGCCUGCUAAGUACCCUGAGGGAUGAGGAACCAUGUGGAGGAAGCCCCAGUGAUCCUGGCUGUGGAAAACAAGGUCAUCACAAGUCAGCCUAGACCAAGCAACCCAUGACUGGAAAGCAUGGGAAUUUGUGCAAGGUGCUGCUGGAGACCUCUCUUGGGAUGCCUCAUAUUGUUCAGUUAAAUGUUAGCUGGGGCUACAAUGAUCUGAAAACUUGAGUCUUCUGGGCAUCCGUAAUGGCGGGCAAACAUGGCUGGCAGAUAAUGUCUUCUGUUAUCCAGCAACUCUGCCAGCACUCUUGACUAACAAAUACAUGGCCUGUCCAGCAUGGCAGUCUCAGAGGAUAUGGAUUUCCC
rnacentral:lncRNA from 13 species